rnacentral:ncRNA from 2 species
CUCUUAUCCCGAGCUGGCGGAGGGACAGGCCCUAUGAAGCCCAGCAACCUGCAAGACUUGAAAACGUAAUGUUUUCACUCAUGCAAAGGUGCUAACCUGACGCAAGGCUGUAGUCCUUGAGCGAUAAGAG